rnacentral:rRNA from 1 species
AAGACCCCUUGAAGACGACGAGGAGAUAGGCCGGAGGUGGAAGUUCCGAGAGGGAUGGAGCUGACCGGUACUAAUAGGUCGAGGAGCUUGAUCAG